GGGGAUGUGGCUCAGCUGGUAGAGCGCUCGCCUAGGAUGCGCAAGCACCUGGAUUCAAUUCCCAGUCCCCA
rnacentral:tRNA from 1 species